rnacentral:sRNA from 1 species
UUUUAGCCCAGAUGGAAACGAAAACCCCGGAGUUAUGAAAGUUAGUUUUUCUUGGUGUAAAAGAGCGACUCCCGAAGUCUCGGGAUAAGCUCCUUUUAUGCCUUAGAAAAACAACUGGAAUAACGAGGAGUUAAAGUGUACAGCUGGAAUUGCU